rnacentral:lncRNA from 1 species
UCAAUAAAUAUCAAAAGAUAAUAUUUGUCAAAUCUUUUUGAUCUAGGAAAGAUAUUAUCUAAUAUUCUCAAAAUCUGAUUAAAUCUGUUGAAUAUUUGAAAGAUAUUAGAUNUAAGAUAAAAGAUUUUAUCAACAGAAUAUUCAAAGUCCAAGCCCAAUCAAGCCCUAUAUAAAGAGACCUAGGGGAGGCAGAAAAAGGGGGAGCUUCAUUCAUUCAUUCAUCCCCCACUGCUUUCACUUUUCUUUCAUUAUGUGUUUCUAAGCUCCUAGGGCUAUUAUGCUGUAAUUUCAUUAUGGAUUCUGGGGUUAAGUGAUUUAAUGCAAUUGUUUAUUUUGAUUAUUGAUUUAAGUUGUUCUUUUUCUAUGUCUUUCAUCUCUUUAUCAUAUUAAAAGCAAAGAUNUUUGCAUCAUUAUGUGUUU